UAUAUAGCUCAGUUGGCAGAGCAUGAGACUUAAUUUCAGGGUUGUGGGUACGAGCCCCACAUUGGGCAAAA